rnacentral:rRNA from 1 species
GAUGAACGCUAGCGGCAGGCCUAACACAUGCAAGUCGAGGGGUAAAGGAAGCUUGCUUCCUUGAGACCGGCGCACGGGUGCGUAACGCGUAUGCAAUCUACCUUGUACAGAGGAAUAGCCCAGAGAAAUUUGGAUUAAUACCCCAUGGUAUAAUUAAUUUGCAUGAAUUGAUUAUUAAAGUUCCAACGGUACAAGAUGAGCAUGCGUCCCAUUAGCUAGUUGGUGUGGUAACGGCAUACCAAGGCGACGAUGGGUAGGGGUCCUGAGAGGGAGAUCCCCCACACUGGUACUGAGACACGGACCAGACUCCUACGGGAGGCAGCAGUGAGGAAUAUUGGUCAAUGGUCGGAAGACUGAACCAGCCAUGCCGCGUGCAGGAAGAAGCAUCUAUGGUGUGUAAACUGCUUUUGUACGGGAAGAAACACUCCUACGUGUAGGAGCU